AGUGUAGGCGGAGUGAUUAGUCGUAGGUGAAAGCGGACCGCUUAACGGUCACAAGUGCCUGCGAAACUGUCAUUCUUGAGUGUGUCAGGGGGUACUGGAAUUCCCGGUGUAGCGGUGGAAUGCGUAGAUAUCGGGAGGAACACCAGUGGCGAAGGCGGGUACCUGGGGCACAACUGACGCUGAGACUCGAAAGUGCGGGGAGCAAACAGGAUUAGAUACCCUGGUAGUCCGCACCGUAAACGAUGGACACUAGUUGUCGGGGGCAGUCCCUUCGGUAACGCAGUUAACACACUAAGUGUCCCACCUGGGGAGUACGCUCGCAAGGGUGAA
rnacentral:rRNA from 1 species